rnacentral:rRNA from 1 species
AUGCAGUCGACGAAGCUUGAUUUAUGAUUUCUUCGGAAUGAAUAAUGAUAUGACUGAGUGGCGGACGGGUGAGUAACGCGUGAGCAACCUGCCCUUCGGAGGGGGAUAGCGUCUGGAAACGGACGGUAAUACCGCAUAAAGUGUCUUGACCGCAUGAUCGAGAUACCAAAACUGAGGUGCCGAAGGAUGGGCUCGCGUUGGAUUAGAUAGUUGGUGGGGUAACGGCCUACCAAGUCGACGAUCCAUAGCCGGACUGAGAGGUUGAACGGCCACAUUGGGACUGAGACACGGCCCAGACUCCUACGGGAGGCAGCAGUGGGGAAUAUUGCACAAUGGGGGAAACCCUGAUGCAGCAACGCCGCGUGAAGGAAGACGGUUUUCGGAUUGUAAACUUCUGUUCUUAGUGAAGAAUAGUGACGGUAGCUAAGGAGCAAGCCACGGCUAACUACGUGCCAGCAGCCGCGGUAAUACGUAGGUGGCAAGCGUUGUCCGGAAUUACUGGGUGUAAAGGGAGCGCAGGCGGGAAGCCAAGUCAGCUGUGAAAACUACAGGCUUAACUUGUAGACUGCAGUUGAAACUGGUUUUCUUGAGUGAAGUAGAGGUUGGCGGAAUUCCGAGUGUAGCGGUGAAAUGCGUAGAUAUUCGGAGGAACACCGGUGGCGAAGGCGGCCAACUGGGCUUUAACUGACGCUGAGGCUCGAAAGUGUGGGGAG